rnacentral:lncRNA from 1 species
CUUUGCUAACAUCUGGAUUAUUUAUUUAUUUAUUUAUUUUGAGUUUUUAGUUAUCUGACUGUUCUAAGGAGGUAUGUCAUUGUGGUUUUAAUUUUCUUGCCAGAUUCAUAAUUCUGUCUCUUUGACUGUGGGAGUCAGCUAUUAUCUGUCUGUGUUCAAGGUGUAUCACACCUGGAAUUUCUCAGGCACUAGGCAGGAGCACGUGUGGGGCUUAUCUCAUUUAUUUCUAACCUAAUAAUGCCCUUUGUCUGUUGCCCAGUGCCUUGAAAAGCAUUGUUUAAUAUAAACACUCUUCUGUUUUGGUUUGUUUGUAUCAGGCAGGCAGGACUAUCCAGUCGAUGUUACUCACUUCCUGAACACCUCGGUCAUUUGCAACCCAACCUCAAGAAGUCUAAUUUUGACCAAGAAUCUGUCAAGUGGUAUUGUAUUGUUGAUGCAAAAGAAGCCAACAAGUUCAACAAUUUCUUUUGACUAAAAGUAUAAAUAGCAAUGUUUUGUAUGCUAACCAAAACCUCUAUAGUGUGACCAUAACGUAAUGUGGCCUACCAGUAAAUAAUUACAAUAUUAAGAGAUGUUUACACACAACACUUAAAUAUUAUUAGAAUUUCUUGUGUUUUUCUACCAUUAUAUACUACUCUGAUCUGGACAAAUACAAUCAAUCACUGCCUACCUUACAAGAGUAUUGAUUUGAGCUGGGCAAUUUGUAAGGAAACAGAGAACACAUGUCAUUAUGCAUAUUUAUUUACUACCUUAUAAUUAUCUAGAAAAAACUUUAGGUAGUCACCUCCUGCAAUAGAACUUCCAAUUGCCUUGAUCUCUUCAAACCAAAGAAAACACAAACAAGGGAAGGAGAAGGAGUUUAUUAUCCUCUUUGUUCUGGGUUAAUAGACAUUCUACAUUUAUUUCAGUGUUCAUCGAUUAAUAUAUGAAUAUACUUUGCACUUUCAACAUUUUUAGUCACAUUUGCUUUUCCAAAGUGAGCUCUUAACUCUGUUUUGAGUCUCCCUUACUCAUGGGGCAAUAAUGAUUCCCAAGCACAAAUAAAUUAAAUUGUAUUAGAAAUUAAAAUAUGAAUCUGGUGAAUUUACCUUUUUACAAUAAUUUGAAUACAAUCGUAUGAUGUACAUUCUUCUAAUUAUCUGGGACAUAUUAUGUGUUCCAAAGAUGUUGAAACAAUAUCCAUUAUUUGUUCCACAGCUCUUCUAGAACCUUGUAACUUCGCUAUCAAGAGGAUCCCUUUGACCCUUCCUUGACCUUGUGGAUUUUUCUGAGUGCUUUGGCCAGUAUAAUAUGGCAAAAAUGAUGCAUUUGAAUUCUGAGAUUGUGUCAUGAAAAAGUCAUUAAGUUCCACUUCAUUUUUCUUAGGAUGAUUUUUCUUUGAAUCCGGCAACCAUUCUGA